rnacentral:rRNA from 1 species
UUAGAGUUUGAUCCUGGCUCAGGACGAACUUUUGCGGCGUGCUUAACACAUGCAAGUUGUACGGUAUGUCAUGGAAGCUUGCUGAAGUGACAUAUAGUAGCGAACGGGUGAGUAAUGCAUGAGAAUUUAUCCUUAGGAGGGGGACAACAGCUGGAAACGGCUGCUAAUACCCCGUAUGCCGGAAGGUGAAAGGUGCGAGAGUGCCGCCUGGGGUUGAGCUCAUGUCCUAUCAGCUUGUUGGUGAGGUAAAGGCCCACCAAGGCGACGAUCAGUAGCCGGCCUGAGAGGGUGAACGGCCACACUGGAACUGAGACACGGUCCAGACUCCUACGGGAGGCAGCAGUGGGGAAUAUUGCACAAUGGAGGGAACUCUGAUGCGGCGACGCCGCGUGAGUGAAGAAGGUCUUCGGAUCGUAAAACUCUGUCCUUGGUGAAGAAAAGGACGGUAGCCAAGGAGGAAGCCCCGGCUAACUACGUGCCAGCAGCCGCGGUAAUACGUAGGGGGCGAGCGUUGUCCGGAUUUACUGGGCGUAAAGGGUGAGUAGGCGGUAAUAUACGUCAGGUGUAAAAGAUCAUGGCUUAACCAUGGUUAGCACUUGAAACUGUAUGACUUGAGUGCAGGAGAGGUAAGCGGAAUUCCUAGUGUAGCGGUGAAAUGCGUAGAUAUUAGGAGGAACACCAGUGGCGAAGGCGGCUUACUGGACUGUAACUGACGCUGAGUCACGAAAGCGUGGGUAGCAAACAGGAUUAGAUACCCUGGUAGUCCACGCUGUAAACGAUGAGUGCUAGGUGUUGGGUAGCGAUAUUCAGUGCCGUAGUAAACACAAUAAGCACUCCGCCUGGGGAGUACGUACGCAAGUAUAAAACUCAAAGGAAUUGACGGGGACCCGCACAAGCAGCGGAGCAUGUGGUUUAAUUCGAAGCAACGCGAAGAACCUUACCAAGGCUUGACAUCCCCUUGACAGGUGCAGAGAUGUGUCCUCUCCUUCGGGAGCAAGGGAGACAGGUGGUGCAUGGUUGUCGUCAGCUCGUGUCGUGAGAUGUUGGGUUAAGUCCCGCAACGAGCGCAACCCUUAUCCUUAGUUGCCAUCAAGUUAAGUUGGGCACUCUAAGGAGACUGCCGGUGAUAAACCGGAGGAAGGUGGGGAUGACGUCAAAUCAUCAUGCCCCUUAUGUCUUGGGCUACACACGUGCUACAAUGGUCGGUACAACGGGGAGCGAAGGAGCGAUCCCAAGCAAAUCCCAAUAAACCGAUCCCAGUUCGGAUUGCAGGCUGCAACUCGCCUGCAUGAAGUCGGAGUUGCUAGUAAUCGCGAAUCAGAACGUCGCGGUGAAUGCGUUCCCGGGUCUUGCACACACCGCCCGUCA